UGGAAAUUAGGGACGCCGCGGGUGCGCGCCGCAGCACCAGUAGCGGCAGGAGACAUGAAGGUCCUCAUCAGCUGGGCCGCUGGUUCGGGAUGCGGAACCAAUAGCUCCGCGGGGCGGAGCGACGGCAGCGUCGGGGAUCGGAGGAUCUCUGCCCCGCGUUGGCUCAUCAUCGAAGGAGCUGCUGAGGGUCCCGAUAGGCGGCGGAAAACCCUCCCCAACGCCGAGCGCAACAUCGCCAUCUCUUGUUCUUCACCUCCUCUUCAACUCCUCUCCUCCUCUCUCUCUGGUCGGGUCGGGUCGGGUCGGGUCGAUUAGGGUUGGCUGCUGUUCUGUUCUGUUCGGGUGCUGCGGCGCAAAAUAUAGGUAGGGGUUACUCCUACGAUCUGGACUGAAUUCCACUUUUCCCUCGGACUCGGCUCCCUUCUCGACUCGGACUCCAGCGUUAAACCUUGGCAGACGAGGGCCCGCGUGGAGCAGGCCCGCCGAGACCGGCGUGGCGCGCGGGGGCGAUUGAGUUAGGACCUGUUUGGUUAGAAUGGCUUAUGCAUAAGCAACUUAUAAAUAAGCAAAUAAGUUGCUUAUAAUCCAAACACUCUUGUUUAUAGAGUUGCUUAUAAGUUGCUUAUACAUAAGCAAAUAAGCAAGUGAGUAGCUGCUUAUUUUGCUUAUGGGGUGCUCUUUACCUCCCUACCCUCCCCCACUUUUCUCUGUCCCCCGUCUGCAAUCCUCUCCCCAGAUCCCCUUCUCUGUUGUUCUCCCACCCCGGCGCCGCGCCCGAUCUCCGCCCGCCGGUCCCUCCCCGCUGCCGCCGCCGGCCUCCGCGCGCCGCUCACGCGACGGCCCGCCGCUCCCGGCCCGCCUCUGGCGCCAGCCUCCGCGCGCAGCUCCCGCCCCGGCCCGCCGCUUCCGCCCCGCCUCCGCCGCCGGCCUCCACGCGCUGCUCCCGCCCCGGUUUGUCGCUCCCACCCUGCCAACGCCGCUAGGCUCCGCGCGCCGCUCCCGCCCUGCCCCGGCCCUCCACUCCCGCCCCAGCCCGCCGCUCCCGGCCCGUCGCCCGCCUCCGCGCCCCACCGCCCGCCUCCGCGCCCAGUCGCCCGCCUCCGCCCGCCGCUAAGCUCCUACCCUCGUUUCUCUCUUGCCCUCAUCCGCACUCUCUCCGCCCGAUCCCCUUCCUCCCUCCCCCCGUCCGCACUGUUUUCCCCCAGAUCCCCUUUCUCUCUGUCUUCCUCUUCCCCGGCGGCGCCGCCCCUGCGCCAUCCCUGAAAUCAUGGACGGUUACCGUGAUUUUUUUUCGCAGGGGGCCUCAUCCUCGGCAGGUCCUUCCUUGCGUCAACCCCAUGGCGUCCCCAACCCCGAUGAGUUGGAGCUCCUGUCUCAAUGGCCUGAGCAACCACAUACAGCUCCUACUGUUUCUGCGGGGAGGGUUGGGAUGGAGAAUCUCGAUCUAAACUCGCAGCAAGAAGAUUUCCCCUACAUUGAAGAGUACUCGGCAUUACUCGAUCGUGGAAGAGGCCGUGCCGAUGGCGGGAGAGCAGCCUCGUUUCAACCUCCCCGUCAAAGCGCAAGUGGUAUUCCAAUUGGACGGGGAAGGAGUGCUACACGAGGUUCUGGCCGUGCCCGUGGAAGAAGUGUCUGCGCAUCACAUUCACCGCCGGCAGGUUGGUGUAACUGUUUCUUCCUGUACUUCUUUUUGCAUAGGUAACUUAUAUGGUUAAGGAUCAUAUAUUUCUUGUUUGUUAGCCUAUCAUUCAUUUUGUAUAGGUAACUACCAGAAGAAGUCUUACUUGUACAGCAUUAUGUUUGUGUUCUGCCAUUUUUUAUAGACCUUUUUCAGAAAAAAGAUAACAAUUCUGGCAUUUGGUGCAUACAACAGCACAGGCAUAUUAGUGAAUUGUGAUGAUUAGGAGUGAUAAAAAUACACAAUAACAACAAUGAUGUAUCAGUACCUUCUUAAGGUCAUAUCCACAGGUGAAAUAAAUGGAGUGAAAUGCAGGUUAGAUGCAGGUUAAAUCCUUCACCAAGCAUGCAAGAUAGAAACUCCUCAACAUCCCUCUUACUGUUCUGCUGUUCAAAUUAACAUGUUAUUACUGUCUUGUACAAAAAUAAUAUUGCUUGAGCAGUAGUUUUAUGUGUAAUUGCCAUUCUUAUGUUGAAAAUAUUAUGUAUGCCAUAAUGGAAAGUUCUAAAGGGGGUAACCCAUAACAUCAUUUUUAUUAACAGAAAUGAUUUUGAGCAGAUAGUAUGGUUGAUCUUCAUCUAUUUGACUCAAUAACUGUCUUGUAUAAGCUGAAACUAUCAAUUCUUGUUGUGGACCAAUUGUACUGUACAUUUCUGAGCUAGUUGCUUCUGAGUUUGUUAUUGCUAAGUUUGUUAUCUCUGAAUUUGUUAUUUACGAUAAAUUUAUGUCUGAAUUAUUUAUUUUUCAACACUGUAGGUGCAAGUCCUCCCCUCCGUCAAUCAUUAAGGGGAAGGUUAUCUCAAUUUAGUGCUGUCAGACAUGGUGCCUCUAACUCGGGUGCAACACACUGUCCAUCGUUCACGAACACGGUGGAUCAAGAAGAUAUUGAUGAAGACGAUGUUGACUCCUUUCCUUCUGUAAGCAUUCUUAUCUCAGCUGGUUAUGUGUGAACAUGUGUGUUGCAUAAGUAGAGGCUUGAGCUUUAUAUUUCUUUCCAUGUUAUGUGUUAGAACAAGUAUGACAAGGCGAAUUGGAGCGCAGAAAACACCGGUAUUUUUUGUGAACUCUGUGUUGAGCAAAUGAGGCUAGGAAAUUGUCCAGGUGGGAAGAUUAACUCUAGGGGUUAUAAAGAAAUUGCACGAAAAUUCAACGAAAGGACAGGCCUGAACCAUGCUCCCAAACAAUUCAGAAAUAGGUGGACAACAUGCAAGAAACUUUAUGAAUUCUAUAAGUUUGCAAUGUCACAGUCAGGACUAGGUAGGAAAGCAAAUGGUGCCAUUCUAGCUGACGACGAUUGGUGGGAUCAAAACAUUAAGGUAUUACGGUUUCCUAAAGAAAUAUCAAACCCAGGUUAUAUGUUUGUGAGAGGUUUUAAUUGCUGUUUCAUUUUGUAUUACAGAGUUAUAGUUCAGAGUGCCUGUUAUUUUCAAGAUAUAUGCCAAACUAUGUUGAUGACUUACAAGAGAUGUACCAGAAGGUGGUAGUGGAUGGAAAUUCGUCUACCAUUGCAUGAAAUGUAGCUGCCGAAGGUAUUGACCUUGAGAAAGAGGUGAUUGAUUUACCAGAAGAUGAUGUUAUGUUACCAGAAGAUGGAACUGAAGACUACGCUAGCCCACUGAGUAGUAGCAGUCGAAAGAGGAGUUCUAGCACAAAAGACACUGCAUGUAGUCCGCCAAAGAAGGGGAAAAAUCAGUUCCUAAACAUAUUCAAAGACCUUGUGCACACAAUGAAAGCUGACAGCUCUGAGGACUCUGAGGCAAUAAAGCUGAAGCAGAGGGAGAUGGAGUUAAAGCUGAAGUAGAGGGAGAUGGAGAUGAAGCAGAGGGAAAUGGAUAUGAAGCAGAGGGAAAUGGAGAUGGAGUACAGGAGGAAGGAAAAGGAAGAGAAGUGGAAAAAUGAGGAAAGGGAAGAUUAUGAGAUAGAUGAAUGCAUCAAUAUGGCAAGAGAAUGUGGAGCUGUAGAUGGUACAAAGGAAUUUUUCAUGGCAACUGAGUUGUUUGCAACAAGAUACAACCGGAAAAUUUUUUCCAAGAUUAAAACAAAUGAAGCAAGGUUGACUUGGCUACAAAUGAAGUGCACGAGGAACAAGUGAAGCUAUUGACCACUAGUUACUUGAGUUGCUUGAGGGGAACUUUUAAAUAAUGUGUGAAAUAUUUGAACUGUAUUGUUCUGUGAACCUAUGUUAUGUGUGAACCCUCGUUAUGUGUGGACCCGAGUUAUGUGUGCCAUUUGGUUCAGUUGUCAUUCCAUUUGUGUGCCCUCUAUUACAUUUACGAUAACUUUUAUGUCUCCUGUGUUGUUAUGUGUGAUCCACUUUAGUUUAUUUUGUGAUUAGUGGAUAUGAACUCUGAUAAAUUUUAUUUUAUUUGUACAGAUUCCUCCUUUUCACUAUUCAUCGUCUUCUGAUUCCGAUGAAGAGUUGCUGAAAAGAAGGAAGAAGAAGAGGAGGCAACUUGCUACUAUUUGUGCAGCUUUCGGUAUGUACUAUUACACGACAUACCUAGACAAAGCUAAAUAUAGGGUUGCAAACCAAACUGGUUAUGAAUGGGUUGUUAGUACAUUACAGAAUAGGACAUCUUGCUACAACAUGUUUAGGAUGAAUAGAGAUGUGUUUGAUAGUCUACACAAUAUCCUAGUCCAAUCAUAUGGGUUGAAGUCAACAAGGAGGAUGACAUCAGUAGAGGCUUUAGCUAUGUUUGUGUGGAUUUGUGGUGCGCCUCAAAGCAUGAGGCAAGCUGAGGAUCGUUUUGUUAGGUCCACUGAAACAUGCAGUAGAAAGUUUGAGAAAGUAUUGCAUAGUCUGUGCAAGCUAGCAGGUGAUAUCAUUAGACCAGUUGACCCAACAUUUAGUACUGUGCAUCGUAGACUGCAGUCACCACGGUUCUCCCCCUACUUUGAUAAUUGCAUUGGAGCAAUAGAUGGAACACAUGUGCCUAUUAUUGUGCCAGUGGACAAGGUUGUCCAACAUACGGGCCGACAUGGGUACACCCGCCAGAAUGUGUUAGCAAUAUGUGAUUUCGACAUGAGAUUUAUGUUUGUUGUCGCCGGAUGGCCUGGAUCGGUGCAUGACAUGAGAGUCUUCAAAGAUGCAUUGAUCAAGUACGGCGACAAGUUUCCUCAUCCUCCAGAAGGUUCUUCCCUAUUCUAUGUUCCCAUACUAGUCACAAUGUCUAUCUAUUGGUUGAAUAUAACACGAAAAUUAAUUAUUGUGCAGGGAAAUUUUAUCUGGUGGACUCUGGGUACCCAAACAGACCGGGAUACCUGGCACCAUACAAGGGUACGAAAUAUCAUAUCCCAGAGUUUCGACCAGGACCACUCCCAAGAGGUAAAAAAGAGCUUUUCAAUUAUGCCCAUUCAUCACUAAGGAAUGUGAUUGAGAGGUCUUUUGGAGUUUUGAAAAACAAAUGGCGUAUUUUGCGUGAUUUACCGGCAUAUCCAAUGGCAAAGCAAAGCAACAUAAUUAUCGCUUGCAUGGCAAUUCAUAACUUCAUUAGAGAGAGUACACUUGCUGAUGUGGACUUUGAGAGGGCGGAUAACGAUGAAUGCUAUGUGGCGCCUUCGGACGCAUCGUCGUCACAAAACAAUGCUGAUACUAGUCAACACGGGGACGAAGAUCAAGACAUGAACCAAUUUAGGGAUUGGAUUGCCGAUGGACUCUCCAAUAGAUCUUAGGUUCCUUGUUUUGUAACGAUGUUACUUGUACAAUGUUGAACAACAUUUGAUUUGAAUAAUAAUUUGGCUCCCAGCACCGUGGCAGCCAAAUGAAAGCCGGGCUAGUUCUAGUUCCGCGGCAAUUCCUUCUGGCGCCCAGGAGCUCAUUCUGGCGCAAGGCCAGCUUUCCUCUCUGGCGCCAACUCUCCUUGUGCCGCCAAGGACCGGGCAAACUCCUUCUGGCGCCAAGGCCACCUUCCUAGCGCCAACUCUGCUUCUGGCGGACAGGAGAACUCCUUCUGGCGCCAAGGCCAGGAACCUCCUGGCGCCAAUCUCCUUCUGGCGUCAAGGCCAGGAACCUCCUGGCGCCAAUUUGGUUCUGGCGCCAAGGACCAGGAGGACCAGGAGCACUAGUAUUAAUUAGGGGUAGAGGGAAAUGGGAUGGCAGGGGUAAAUGUGUCAAUAGCAGUCUCAUUUAUUGCAAAUAAGCAACCCAAACCAAACACCAAGACUUAUAAAUAAGCAACUUAUAAAUAAGCACCCAUAACCAAACAGGCCCGUAGUCAUUGGAACUAAUAUUUUAUUUUAGCUAGCAUGUACUUUACAGAGCAUGCACUUUAUAGGUUUUCUAGUUCAUUUUAGUUACUCUUGCUUAUUUUUAGGGUCCGUUCACUCAUGAUCUUUAGGAGUGUUGUAAACUUUAGGAGCUAGAAAUUGGUAGUCCUAAAAUUUAUGAGUGGGCUGUUUGGAUGGAAUCAUAAUCUUUAGGAUGUUAGAGGGAAAAUGACUUUUGUACCCCUAAUUACUCUUGUAACCCUGCUCUGUUUCUAGCGCUGCCCCUGCCCUGGUUAUGGCGAGCAGCGCUGCUUCUGGCGCGCAAGUGCUGGCUGCCGUUUUUUUUUUGCCGACCCUUUUCUUAACUUUAUCAAUAAAAUAUUUUUGCAAUGUCCAAUAAACAUUAAGCACAGUCCAUCGUCAAUAUCAUUACAACUCAAAAAUACAAAACCUCUACGAUCUAUUGAACAAAGCAUUAGCUAUAUUAUCACAGAAUUCGCUCAUAUUUUGGUCUCCGUCUGACUCUUCGGUAUUUCCCUCAUGUCCUUCAGAGCUUGAUUCUUGGGCUAAAGGAAUAAAAUUUUCAUCACGAUCACACAUAUGAAAGGCUCUAUCCGCAUUAUCGUUCUCCCUAAUGAAAUUGUGAAGUGCCAUACAUGCUACUAUUAUUUUGCUUUGCUUUCCAUUGGAAAACUCUGGAGCACCAUGCUGCAACUUCCUCAAAUCAGGACGUUUCUGCAAGUGAGAUGUGAUUCUAAGUCAGGAUCACUACAUCCUGGAAAUAAAAGGGUUAGUUGAAAAUUUAUCUCUCACCUCUGUGUGUAUAUCCCACCACCAGUUAGGAGCUAGCACUGUCCCAUCUGAAUUUCUACCUGGACCUGAUUCCUUCUGUAGGCUUUUCCAAAAGGUAUAUAUCCUUUUCAAUUGAUCUCUUCUAUUCCUAAACUGAGAGAGGUCAUGCUUCAAACCAGUAGCCAUGUAGUACUUUUCUUGAUUUAUCUUCAACCCUCCGGUAGGCAUGUAAUGGUGACAACAAUAUUGAUUAAUUUAGCUUAAAAAUCUUGAGUGAGGGCACGUGCUCUCACUCGCUUGAACCUAGGUAUGUCCCUGGUACACACUACAGCAUGUUGAGUUCCAGCUUUAAUUUUCUUCCAAAAUUGUUUUAUUUUAUAAGCUGAUCUAUAGUUUGCAUGUGGUUCUAGCUCGGCCAGUGAUCUGCAUACAGAAACACCAAUAUUCCAAGCAGUGCCAUCAUAAUAUAAAACUGCGAGAAAGAAAAAAGAAAAAGGUGCAAUGUCAUGUUUAUGGUCACACCUUUCACUGGUAGAAAAUUUGGCAUUAGUCCCAAUUGAUAGACCUUAAAUCUCUCUAAAAUCCAUCCAGGAUAAAAAUUUCGAGACAAAAGGGGAUCUUUAGUCCCGGAUCGUUCAAUCGGGACUAAAGACCUCCCAACCGGGACUAAAAAGUGUCAAAAAAAUAAAAAAAAACGCCCCACGCGGGCCGGCUGGGGUUUUACAUUAGCUGGGGCUAGGGACUGGAGUUUUAUAUCUCAUGUUGGCAAAGACGUUACUAUCUGGUCUUGAGAACGUGCUGUAAUUCAAGGUGAAACCCACUGUUCUGCCCAGUUUAAGAUGCAGUUAACUUUUGUUGCUUAUCUUAUUAUCAAAUUGCCCAGUUUAAGAUGCAGUAACUUUUGUUGCUUAUCUUAUUAUCAAAUCGUCAAGAUAUAGGAUGAUCCAUAUACUAGCAUGACGCAGCUGCAGGCAAGCUGCAAGCGGCACAAGCAAUGGCUGUACCGCUGCAGUGCGUACAGCAAUAUAAAGCGCGAGUGAAUUUACAGAUGUCGCGUCUUUAGUCGUGGAGGAUGUAUUUGUUGAUCUACUGUUAAGGGAAUUCAUAGGGCGCUCUAAGCGGGGGGCCGCGUCUCCACACUAUAGCACGGUUCUCCCAUCGAGUACCGAACAGGUUGCGAUAUACUGCUGAAUGCUCCAUUUUUUUGUUUUUGUAACGAACUGAAAGAAAGCCCCUUGCAAACAAAAACCCGGACACCCGCACACUGGCAGGAUGACCAAUGCCGGAACGGAACCUAGGUCACUGCAUAGUAAAUUACGCCUACAAAUAAGAUCAACCGGGAAUUCAUUUAGUCAAAACCUCAACAGGUACCAGGGGGCAUGAUAAGUGACAGAUGCAAAGGGAAAUUACGAGACAAGUCUAUUACAAUACUAGCUAGCAGUUACAAAUUAUUUGCCGAAACCAUUAGACUCACUAAAUAGAACAGACUCCACUACACAGCAAGCAUGCCGCCCUCUCUGAUCAGGUCCAUCAGCAUCACCAGUGCCGCUUCUUUGCAGAAUUAAAAUUAUUGGAUUUUGUAGGUGCUUUGUCGAGGCGGUGAAAGGUCGUAACCGUCGUCACAAAAGAAGACAUGCCAACGACAAUUACCAACGUGAGCUGAAAGCGUGGGCCAAAAUGUCUAUCCAGCCAUGCCACGACCCGCAUCCUUGAUGUUCUACAAUAAAGGAAGUACAGAAGCACAGCAUUGUUAGAUCAGUAUAAAUGUUUAAGAAAUGAGAAAGAUAACGCCUAUACAUUUUGAAAUAGUGAAGAAAAAGCACAGAGCUACAAGAAUGUUUGGCCUUAGUAUUCCACUAUUGAUAUUAAAGCUGUAGCUAAAAAACUCAGAUAUAGUGUAGAGCUUGCCUAUCGCUUUAUAUGUGAGGUAAAACAGUACAAUACAUCCUUCAAUGUGAAACAACCUACUAGUAGGUUAAAACAAUAAUGCACAUGGGAUUGACUACAAUCAACAGUAUCCUUACUCUUUCCUUUCCACCGAGAGGAACCUCUUCUGCUGUAAGCACUUCACACCCUCGGUCCCAACAGGGAAAUGCUGCCAGCCCUGCAGCAACAAUUCCAAUCAGUAUUAAUGGUAAACAAUAAUCAUAGCAAACAAGUUAAUUGUGACCCAAAAUUAUUUACUAAACUCAAGUUUCAGAUAGAGCAGCCUGUUCCUUGUCAACAGAAGAAAAUAUUAGCCAGCAGAUUAGUUUUCUAGAACAUGGCUUUGUACUAACAGUUAGCAGAAGUCGUGGACAACAAAGAUAAUACUAUCAAAACCUACUUUCAGUAAAAGGGACAGGUCUGAAAUCUCCAGAGCCUAGGUGUAAUUCCAUAGGCAUUAGUAUUACGAUCAAUUGGGUAGAAGUAAGAGUUCAGGCUUCAACAUUAAAAUAACUACACAAAACAACUAACAAACACCAUGAUUCCACCAUAAGCACACAAAGAAGGAAAUUGUUUUCAAACAAAAUUGAAAACAUUAGAUGAUAACAGCAAUAGAGAAUAUAUCAGUAACGGGGCAUCAAAAAAUAGAUUCAAUGGGAAAAUCUUUAUUGAAAAAGGGGGGACCAGAUUCAAUGGAACCCAAAGGUUUUCUGGCAUACUGCUGAACUGUGCUCUUCAGUGCAUUAAUCAAAGCUUAGCAGAUGGCAGUGGCAAAAUUGAAUAUAUACUUAAACAUGUAAGCCAUGUUGGCCCUAAAUGUAACUUUUUUAGGUUUGCUGUGUUGGGUAUAAAGAAAAUGUUGGGCCCCAGAUAUUGUGACAAUGGCCAUCACUAAAUUUCUGAGUUGCACAACCAAAUCCAGCAAUCCCAGGAGUACUCUUUAACCAAUGCACCCCCAGCCCUUAAGACCCACCCAAUCCUCGAGCUCUCAGGGUAAACACCGUUUGAAGCCUAAUGAACUGAGUUGCAAUUCUAUGAUACCAUGUUAUUCACAGUUCAGAUGCAAUGCAUAUGAAAUGAAUGGAACAUUCAGAUAGCACUCCGUGAUUAAGAUAGGGGACGAGGACGCCCCACUGAUAAAUGACCUACCCUGAAGGAACUGAAGCAAAUGUGUGGGGGUGGCAUCUCGUGAUGCUGGAGGAUAACACAAAUGAAUGAUGCUAUUGCUACCACUCAGUGUGGACAGCAAGGAAAGCAACUUGCUUCAAUGCCAGGUUUGACGAACGAGUUUAUACGGUGAAUCAGCAAAGAGGUGAAUUCUGAUUGGGCAAAUUGUAAUGUGCAUUCAAGGAAUUGCUAUCACUCCGAGUUUAUACGAGUAAUGAAAAUUGUGACGAGUUUUCCCCUUCGGUCAAUAAGAAAAAAUGAUGCCUCUUGCCUGGAUCAUUCAAGGAGUUCAGGUGCCUAGAUUACGAAAUCAACUGAAGUGAGGAGCAAGGUGCGAUUUUUACGCAAGCGGGCCAACUACGAAGCCAGGUCCUAAAUUGAAUACGUGGUCUCACCUGGAAAUUAGGGACGCCGCGGGUGCGCGCCGCAGUACCAGUAGCGGCAGGAGACAUGAAGGUCCUCAUCAGCUGGGCCGCUGGUUCGGGAUGCGGAACCAAUAGCUCCGCGGGGCGGAGCGACGGCAGCGUCGGGGAUCGGAGGAUCUCUGCCCCGCGUUGCCUCAUCAUCGAAGGAGCUGCUGAGGGUCCCGAUAGGCGGCGGAAAACACUCCCCAACGCCGAGCGCAACAUCGCCAUCUCUUGUUCUUCACCUCCUCUUCAACUCCUCUCCUCCUCUCUCUCUGGUCGGGUCGGGUCGGGUCGAUUAGGGUUGGCUGCUGUUCUGUUCUGUUCGGGUGCUGCGGCGCAAAAUAUAG
rnacentral:lncRNA from 1 species